AUCUUCGACCCACAGGGCUAGCCGGCUGCUAAGAGCGCAGACCUGGCGGCCCGGUGAUUCCUGUCUGCCCCGCCCGCAGCGCCUCGCCUUCGACUCAGCACCGAGGGGCCCCCCCACAAGGCAAUCCGGGAGCGGCGGGCUCGGGUUACCGGGGCGUCCUGCGUCCGCUGGAGGCUGCAAGGCGAUCGAUCCACAAGGCCUUUCUGGACCUGUCUCUCCGGGAAGGGACUGUGGGGAUGGCAGAUCCGUGACUCGCCCAGGACCCAGCGCAGAAGCUCCAGGUCGCUUUUGCCUUUUACCUGCAAAAGCGGAUGAGCACAUGAGCCCAGAGAGCUGAUUUCCCCAGGUCACACAGCUGAGUCCAGGAUGGCUUCUUGCUCAGUGCCAUCCUCCUAUGUGAAAUUUAUUGCAAAGAUGGACUCCAGGUUUAGAUAGCAGUUUCUACAAAGCGAACUUGGAACAGAUGAGAGUUAGUUUUAGAAUACUACACCUUCUAUUCCUUGAAGGGAGAGGAAGUGAUGAAGAGGAUUAACACCCUGCUUCUAAUUCUGGCCAACUCAGAGGCCCUGCAUGGAAAAUCAGAAGUGACUGGAAUCCUGGAAGAGGGCCACCUGGCCAUCAGAAAAUUCCAGAGGGAUGUGGUCACUGCCAGACACACACUUGUUUGAUCUGGUCCAAAUGGAGAGAAACUAACUAGUUUUGAAGCAUCCAAUUUUCAGAAGUUAUUGACUAAUAAAGAUCAUCCAUAAAUGUUCUUCAGACCAACAGGAAAUGGGCCUGACUCCAAGCUACUAUCAAGUCUCCUCCGUCACUGAUUUUCCUGUCUGUGCAAAGGAAGGUGUGAGGAAAGGAAAAGGAUACCCUUUCACACCCAGGAAGACAGAACUCUCACCCAUACACAGAAGACAAGGUGUUAACCCAGCAUUUCACAAGGAUGCUCUACUUGAGACUCAAGUCCCCAUCGACAGCAUCACAGAAUCCUGCAUCGACAGCAUCACAGAAUCCUGCAUCACAGAAUCCCUCAGAGCCACUUUCUUCAAUGAUUAGAUGGAGGAAGGGUUCCCAGGUCCUUUGGACCUGACUCUGACACUUCAGGGAAGGACCUGAUCCUGAAGUACAUGAGAGGACCAGCACUAAACACCUAGGUGACACCUCCUGAGAGUCUAGGAGAUGCCUCUCGAGGUAAUAGAUUUGUCAAUGAUGCUAUCCAUUGACCCUCACACAUGUAAAGUUCCCUGCAAAGGUUGCCUGAGUGCUCUAUAGCAAAGAAAACAAAAUCGAAUGAAUACAGGUAUGUUUUCCUGUCCUAUGGGAAAAGUUCAAGUAUCCAGCACUUGAUGCCCAGACCAUGGUGGUAACCUUCCAGUGGUCUCUGCCUUGCCUCCAAGCUCCUCUACUCUAUCCCAUCCUACAUUGAUUUGCCAGCUGGCACCAUUACUGUCCCUUUACAAGGAUUCAGAAAGUUUCUCCAGUAUUCCAGGCCCUCUUGGGACCCGUCCAACCUCCCACUGCUUUCCUAAAACACUCACCCUUCAACCAAACUGGCCUUUGGUAUGUUUGCAAAUGCAUGUCACACCCAUCGCUAUACCUGCACAGGUGGGCCAGAGCCUUCUCUCUCCGUCCAGGCUUGCCCUUAUCACUCACAAGGGGAUGCAGGGAGUGUUUGGCUUCUGUCCUAGGGCAGUGGUUGGUGUGCACUGCUUCACAUCAGUGAGGAGAUAAUUCUCCACGGGCCUUUAUGUAGGCAUCGGGGAAGACACUGACCACCCUUGUACUGGAUGGACCAUCUUUACAAGGAUGUUUAUACAAUGUACCGCCUGGAACCACAGAGACAAUGUUUCCCUCUGGAGAGGAGCAGGCUGCCUUUCUUCUCAUUUUAGAAGACUUGCAUUCCUUAUGCUCAGAAUUCCUCUCCUGUAAUGUGACCCGCUGCCCAUGCAGUUGUCACGUGGCCAUCUGAGUCACCCUGUGGGAAUCAGGGCCUGGGAACUAGCACAAGAAAAGACUGGCACUUGGACUAUUGCUAUGAUAAAGUCCUUUAUCUCUGACCCCGUGUCCUGUGUCUCCUGCCAGCAUCUAGGACACUGUCAGGCUAGCUCAUAACUUACAAGUAGGGGAAAAUCUCAGGCCUUUCACAGUUCUUGACAGGACCUUACUGUGGGAGUCUCAUCUCUCCUAAAUGAGAAAGUCUAAAGUGGAGGCAGGAAUUCCAUAUUCUAUUUCUUAACACUUCUGACACUUUCCCCUACAUGUUCUAGUACACAGAAAGUUUUUUGAUAAUAUAAAUGGUAUUGAUAAUAAAGCAAAAUAAUCAUAGCCACAAGCUCCCUAGUUUGACUUAGUUUCAACCCCUAAUGAUCUUUUCUAUUCUGCAUGGCUCUGCAUCUCUCAAGCAAUAGGGUCUUUUUGUAAAAUGCACAUAUGCAAGAGAGGAUAUGGAAGGAGCAUGUGUGGGGAGCCUAGGAAACAAGAUGAUGGGAAUAGGUUCUAGAACCAAGCUGUGGCAGAUUCCUAAUUGUUUCUAAAUAUUUAUUCUCCCUUUUUUCUUUGUAAAAAUAAUCCCAGUUAUUGUUUUAGCUGAGAACAUUAUGUCUAGCUAAAAUCAUACAUUUAUCAGCCUACUGUAUACCCAGAUGUGGCAUAUUACAGGGUCCUAGCCAAGGAGAUGGAAGUGGAAGAGAGCAUUCCCUUACUUUCACUCCCUACUGCCUAGAUGGCAGAUAUGAUUGUUGGAGUUCCACAGCCAUGUUGGGCCAUGAGGUGAAUUUGAAAAUAGAAUUCACCCAUAGUGAUAACAAGAUAGGAGGAGCAUGGGUCCCUGACACCAUGAAGCCACCAAACCAUCCAUGAACAGACUCCUGACCUCUUUACAAGAGAGAAAAAGAAACUUUAUUUCCUUUAAACCACUGUUAUUUUGGAUAUUCUGGUAAUCUAAUCUUGACUAAUACACACUCAAUUUUAAUUGAGUGUGGAGAAUAUUAUAAAUCAUAUAUUUCCUAAGAAAGGUGCCAUCCUAUGUCUUUUUGACAUUCAAAGCAUUGAAAAGUAAGGGCUACAAUCAAACCACAUACAUUCCUCCAUGUAACCCAAUAGCAAACCCUUUUUAAAACUAUUGAAUUCAAUUCUAUU
rnacentral:lncRNA from 1 species